UUAAUUCAAAUUUCUAUGGAGAUGAAACAACUACACUACGUUUGCCGCUAGGGGGCGCUGCUACAGCUCCAUACAAAUUUGAGUUA
rnacentral:pre_miRNA from 1 species